GAUGAACGCUGGCGGCGUGCCUAAUACAUGCAAGUCGAGCGAACAGACGAGGAGCUUGCUCCUCUGACGUUAGCGGCGGACGGGUGAGUAACACGUGGAUAACCUACCUAUAAGACUGGGAUAACUUCGGGAAACCGGAGCUAAUACCGGAUAAUAUAUUGAACCGCAUGGUUCAAUAGUGAAAGACGGUUUUGCUGCCACUUAUAGAUGGAUCCGCGCCGCAUUAGCUAGUUGGUAAGGUAACGGCUUACCAAGGCAACGAUGCGUAGCCGACCUGAGAGGGGUAUCCGCCACCACUGAACCUGGGACCCGUCCAGAACCCCUCGGGAGGGCACAGUUGGGAAUCUUCCGCAAUGGGCGAAAGCCUGACGGAGCAACGCCGCGUGAGUGAUGAAGGUCUUCGGAUCGUAAAACUCUGUUAUUAGGGAAGAACAAAUGUGUAAGUAACUAUGCACGUCUUGACGGUACCUAAUCAGAAAGCCACGGCUAACUACGUG
rnacentral:rRNA from 1 species